rnacentral:misc_RNA from 1 species
AAGGCACGUUGUUAAAGUCUAGAUUUAUUAUAGUAAGUCGAGAGAUAUAUGCUACAAUUAUUAGACUCACCUAUGAGUACAAUGAUUCACUUAUGAGUACAAUGAUCAUCAACGGCUAAACAAUCAUUUAAAUUGUAUCUUGUGAGAACAUGCAUGCCGAGUCGAUACCCUAGAAAUAAUUGAGAUAAAAAUAAGAAAUUAAAAGGGAAAGAGCAUGGCCAAUAAGAUCUACAUAUAACCUUUUUAAAGAUUAUAUAUGGUAGUUAAUUUUCCUUGGCCUUCUUCUUAGAGUAGUUCUUAGAAUGGAAGUCAAGGAACAAAACCAAAAGAGAAGUGAUGAAAACAGCAUCGAAACACCAACCCAACAUCCCAGAGCACCCCGCACUAGUGAAAUGGUAGUAGAAAAUCCAACCCAUGAUCCCAAAGCUUGAAAAGAACUGCAAAAUCUGGCAAUCUGUGACCAACUUUUUCCAUUUAGGACGAAUCCCUAUGGCACAAAGAAAGUAGUAGUAGUACAUUAUCACAUGUACAGUAGCAUUUGUGACAAGUACACAAGGGAACAUAGACUGCGAGGAGUUUAGUGAUAUGUAGCACAUCACCACCACUGUUGCAUGAUGGUAGACAUGGAGGAAAGUCAACCGUCUGAUGGAGUUGCUCAAGAUGAUCAAAAGGGUAUCCAUGAAUUCAAAAAUCUUCGAGAUAUAAAAUAUGUAAGCCCAGAAAAAGAGAGGUCCAGUAGGUGGGGUUUUUUUAGGGAAGCAAACAACAGAGUCCAAGUUCGGAGCAAGAAGGAUGAUGGAGAGAGUGCAACCAAGGGCCAUAACGAAGGAGAGCGAGAGAAGGAUCAUGUUAUGAAUGGCUGUGAGGUUUUUGAGGAAACGAGGGCUGCAGGAGAUUAGGGUUGUGUGAGAAAGGAGGAAAGUGAGAGAGAGAUAGGAGAGAACGGUGAGAGAAAGGAAGAGAAGAGAAGAACCUGGAGUUUCACCUUGUUUCCAUGCGAAAUUGAGAAUAUUUGGAUGGUUCACUAGCCAAUAUUGGAGGAUUGGGAAAACUGGGUUCUUGCUAAGGUAGUUCACUACACAAUACUUGACAGUUUGGAAAAGGAACUCCAUGGCGGCUCACCGGUGGCGGUGGUGGUGGUGGUGAAAGGAGAGUAGAGAGAGCUUGGGGAGGUUUUAGAAGCUUAAGAUAUGAUGUAGAAGUAAACAAGUGCAAGAGUUUU